UACGUAGGGUGCGAGCGUUGUCCGGAUUUAUUGGGCGUAAAGAGCUCGUAGGCGGUUUGUCGCGUCGGCCGUGAAAUCCCCACGCUUAACGUGGAGCGUGCGGUCGAUACGGGCAGACUUGAGUUCGGUAGGGGAGACUGGAAUUCCUGGUGUAGCGGUGAAAUGCGCAGAUAUCAGGAGGAACACCGGUGGCGAAGGCGGGUCUCUGGGCCGAUACUGACGCUGAGGAGCGAAAGCGUGGGGAGCGAACAGG
rnacentral:rRNA from 1 species